CAUGAAGCUUCAUUUUCGCCAUCACUACCAAAUGGCACAGCAAAAUGUCUACUUGCUAGACAGAAGUAAGUAAGAUCUGAACCAAUGCAGAUCCUGUUCUACCCACCCACUCUCAACCUCUAAACUGAAAUAGUGAUCCACAGUAUCAAAAGCCACAAUUAGAUGAAUGUAAAUUAAAAAUCAACAGCACCAAACAGCAUCCAAUUUUAGAGUAAAAACAAACAAACAAGGUUCUUUACAAGAGGUGUUGGUGGACAAAGUACACUGGUAAUGUCGGCACUCGUGGUUGGGGAACCAGAGAUAAUAACCACUGUCUCGUUUUCAUUAAGUGUGAGGAAGCUAUUUCCCAUCCAGAAUUAGAUAUCUUCAAAGCUGUCAAAAAGGGCUGUUUAUUAUCAUGACCAGACCUAAGAGGUAAAUAAAUCUGAGUAUCAUCAGCAUAGCAAAGCUGAGAUCCCAUGUUUUCUUAAUAUCUGGCUUGGAGGCAAUAAAUAAAGUGAGAACAGAAGGGGACCUAGUAUCGAACCUUGUGGAACUCCUCCCAAGAGGGGGGCAACAUUUGAAAAUAUGCUAUCAGUAUAGACCACAAAGGUCUCACUAGAUAAAGAGGUAGCAACCCAAUGAAGUGCUAUUCCCAUUACAUCAACACAAUGCUCGAGCUGCUCAAGUAACACUCAAAUUACAAUAGGCUUUUGCUAUUAAGCCCCCUUCCUGUGGAAUAAUCUCCCUCCAAGAAGCAGACACCCUUUCCACCUUGAAGUCUAGACUAAAAACUUUUAUGAUUAAGAUGAUUAAUGCAUCAAGAUCUGGCAACAGUGCAAAAUACUUCCCAUACACCAUACUGGGAACCCACUUCUUGUCACUCCAUAUCAAUCAUGUGAUGUUGUUGAUACUGAUGCAAACACCCACAUUACUGCUCAUUCUUCUUGGGUGCCUAAAGUGACCAGGGUUCCCUAACCCUAAUCCGGCUUGUAAUCCUGGGGGGCUCUCCCAUUCCCAUCCCCUAACCUAGGUUCGUAUCCAAUUCCUACCCUUACUCUGACCCGGGUCCGUACUCCCGAAGGGGUUACCCUUACCCUGGAUGCCCUGUGGUCUGGACUUUGUCAAGGUCUAUCUUAACCUGGCACCAUAAUCUUAUCAUGAUCACAUACAGUACAUACUUUAUACAUCAGC
ensembl:lncRNA